AAGGAGAAUGUUGUGAGGGAAACCGAGAUACAGACCUUACAGAGAAAAGAGAAGCCAGCCAGAGAAGCAGAUAUGCAGACGAUCCAAAGAAAGUUUGAGUGCUUUUACUCACUACCCACAAUUGAAAGUUGUAUCUUCAUCCCAUGGAAC